rnacentral:tRNA from 1 species
UCCAUGAUGGCUCAGAUGGUAAAGCCUCUGCCUGCAAUGCAGGAGACCCAGGUUCAAUCCCUGGGUCGGGAA